UACGGGGGGAGCAAGCGUUGUUCGGAUUUACUGGGCGUAAAGGGCGCGUAGGCGGUCAGCACAAGUCAGUUGUGAAAUCUCCGGGCUUAACUCGGAACGGUCAACUGAUACUGUGCGACUAGAGUGCGGAAGGGGCAACUGGAAUUCUCGGUGUAGCGGUGAAAUGCGUAGAUAUCGAGAGGAACACCUGCGGCGAAGGCGGGUUGCUGGGCCGACACUGACGCUGGAUGCGCGAAAGCUAGGGGAGCAAACAGG
rnacentral:rRNA from 1 species